AACGCUAAGUGGCCGCUGGCCAGGGUAGAAGUUAAACCAGGAGAUGGCUGUCAAAUGCAGUUGUUAGGUGUGGCACAUCUUUCUCAAGCUGCUGAGCUGAGCAGGAAAGAGAGACGUUUGUUUAUGGAUUUAUCUCAUCUAUAAGACACUCUUAUUAGAUGAACUCUAUAUCAGUUCUAUGUAGAACUCUGUACCAGUUCUAUAAGGCACUCUUUAAUCUGAAUCUUUUUAUUUGCUCAAGAGAAAAAUAAGUCUGACUUGCAUCCCAUUGAAGAUUUAGAUUGCACUGUUUACAUCUUUCACCUGCGCCGCGGUAGCGUCCUCUACCGAUGCUAUCCUACGUUGAUUUUUCCAGCAACCUGGGAAGCAACCUCAUAGGUGGUUUGGGAUGUCUUUUGGCUGUGCUUAAAAAUUUCCAACAGAUUUGCUACACAUCUUAGGAUAAAUAUGUUUCCUGUGAAUUGUGAUGAUUUCUUACAGUACAUUUGCAAGCAUGUGUAUGCAUCUGCAGGAAACAUAGCCUGGCUCUGUGAAGGAAUACUGCUGUGACCGCAAAACUGUUUCUGUAGAAUUUUCUCCGGUGUGGUCAUCCUGCCUUCAGGAGGAAAAUAGAGCAAAAAGGUAGAACUUACUUCCACACCCAAGUUUCUCCUGAAAGCACUGUGCCUGUUUUGUUUGCUACACAUCUUGGUGCUCCAGCAGAUUACCAGUGAAACAUGCCGACUCUCACCAAACCACCCCAUGUUGCCAAAUCUUCUCUCUUGGCCCUGAUGAUGUGCAACUUAAAACCAAGGUCCAGGUUGACUGCACAGCAGAGUUUACUGUUCGCUCUCUCGCUCUCUCUCCUCUCUCUUUUUUUCUGUAAGCCCAAUAAAUCUGCCCUAUCACGUCAUUGAGGCCACAAGGAAAUGUAAUCCUGCCAAGUGUGGGAGUUAACAAAAACUGCCAAAGUCUUAAGGUUGCAGAGAGAGCAAGAACCACUUUCUGGGUUACGCAUGUCUACUGUGUAUGUGCAGGGGUGCCAUGUCUUCAGGAAAAAGAGGACCUUAGAACUGAAGGAGCAAGAUUCCAACAUCACACUGUUUUUGUUAGCUGUGUGUGUGUGUUUCCUGUGUAUCCAAAAGACAGAGGAGAUGAAAAAGCAAAAGAAAAGAAACGAGGAAUCAGAUUGGAAAGAAGGUUUCUCCAGGACGUCACCUGUAUGAGGUACACAGUGUGAUGACACACUCUGUGCUUUUCCUACUUGUGUCCACGGCUCAAGCCUGGAAGAAGCCUUAGGACGUGGGGGAAAUGUCUAACGUGGAGUCCACCUGCUGAGCAGGACCGGGUGUGAAGGAAGAAGCUUUGUUCUGAUUCCUCAUGGCCCAGCCACCCCUCGCCUGAGCUGAGCCUGGCCACAGGGCCCGCCUGCAGGAAGGGCUGGCCCAUGGCUUCACACUGGGCUCAGGCUGCGCUAAGAGCCCCGGGUGAGGACCUCCAAGCCCAGGAAGCCUCAGUUGGCCAAAGUGCUAGAUGCGUGUGGUCUGCUUUCAUCCCCGCUUCCCUCAGAGCUUGCAUUUUCCAAAUUCAAGAGAGGCUCCACCUUCAAGAAGACCGGCCUGUCCCUGUUAUUUAUGUGUCCCCCUACCAUAUCUCCCUUUGUUCUGCAGAGCGGUACGCAUAAAAAGCUUUUGGGGA
rnacentral:lncRNA from 1 species